AAAGAUCGUGCAGUACUCUUUUAGAGAUAAUAUGGGGUGUCAAUAAUGCGUAUGAAGUAUUCUGAUAAUUUGUUUAAGUUGUAAAAGAGAAAAUUGCAGAAACUGACCAGCGAAGAGAUAAUAAGUAUUCCAGGUAAAUAGUAUUUGACGAACAAAGUAUUUUAGAGAACUUAAAAUUUCACAUUAAAAAAAUCUUCAAUUUAUAUAAAAGGAGUAUAAAAUUAAAUGAAAAAACAAACUUAUCUUUCGUGUUGGAUGUCUUGUGAAUAACAUUUUUUUUUUUUUUGAUCAUUUGACAAAGGGCACCUCUGCUUGUUCCAAGCUACCAGUUGUUUUUGUUGGAUUGCCUUGUGUCUCUACGAGCUUCACAGAUAUCAUCUUGCCUUAGAAGUCCCUUUUGCUGCUCACUUGAUGCAUGUACAGUGCCGCUUUUAUUCAUAUCUGUAUGGUUUGGCGAUGUUUGUAUGUUAUCUUUGUUGAUGCCCUCUAGCUUUACAACAUCCUUUUGUUGACCUUUAAGCAAUAAUUGCCUUCCUUGUCCAAGACUGCUGUUAUCUGUAUAUUGAUCUUGUUUAGGAGCAUUGCUGGUUUUCAUUGGGGAGUCCGAUUUCUUCUCAAUUGGGCUCCCAUAGCUGGUUUCCUGCUUGAUAAGACCCUUUUGCUUCUCAUUCGACAACAAACGACACUCUUCUGGGGUGCUAACAAUUUUGCUUGGAAGCUCAAUCUUUUGUUGUUCUUUUGAUAUUAGCUGACCUGGUUGAGUACUACUGUUUUCAGUUCUCACCGGAGAGUAACCCUUUAGUUGCUGCUUUGAUGAUUGCUGAUCUGUUUCCGUGCUAACUGUUUUCCUUGGAGGUUCAAUCUUCUGUUUUUCUUUUGACCAAGCCUUCCCUGCUUCAGUACUACUGCUUCCAGUUUUCCUCGGACUUUCAAUCUUUUGCUGUUCUUUUGACAAGAAGUCACCACCUGCUUCCGCGCUUCUAACAGUUUUCGUUGGAGGGUUGGCCUUUUUUUGUUCAUUCGGCAACAGGUGACUUACUUCAGGGCUGCCAAGAGUUUUCGUUGGAGGGUAAAGCUUUUGUUGUACUUCCGGGCUGCCAAGAGUUUUCAUUGGAGUGUAAAGCUUUUGUUGUACUUCCGGGCUGCCAAGAGUUUUCGUUGGAGGGUAAAUCUUUUUUUGUACUUCAGGGCUUCCAAGUGUUUUAGUUGGAGGGUAAACCUUUUGUUGUACUUCAGGGCUGCCAAGAGUUUUCGUUGGAGGGUAAAACCUUUGUUGUACUUCAGGGCUGCCAAGAGCUUUCGUUGGAGGGUAAACCUUUUGUUGUACUUCAGGGCUGCCAAGAGCUUUCGUUGGAGGGUAAACCUUCAGUUGUAUUUCAGGGCUGCCAAGAGUUUUCAUUGGAGAGUGACCUUUCUGUUGUUUUCUUGACAAAUCAGCUUCAGGACUGAUAAAUUUGCUCUCUGGAGUGAUCGGCAUCUUGUCUUCAAAACUUUCGAAGCUGCUUUCUCGCUUGUCCUUUAACCAUCCCUGGCCUGCAUCAGACCCGCUAACAGUUUCCACGACACGGUCCGGCUUCUUUUCUUCCGAAAGGCUUCCACCGCCCAUAUAACCUUGCCUUUGAAUUGCUUCUCCGUUGCUGAUAUUGGCAGCCGGUAUCCAGCUGGGAUGGUCUACAUCUUGUUUCGUUUCACCAUUUCGUUGUCCAUCUGGCAUAGUUCCUUUACCAGAACCUGAGGCUGUGUGACCUUUUCUAUCAUCUCGAUUCGCAGCCUUGGCAGAACGGGAUGAUUUGAGACAACAACAUGAUGUUUGAUCUUCAGGUUCUUCAUUGCCUUUUCCGUGAUCAUUCCCAGGUGGGGUGUCACCCUGACGGUGAGCAGUCCCAGACAUUUUCUAAUUAAAUAUGCCCCAAUAUGUUUCUGCAUUAGUGCAUCUACCUUCACAUUUCACCUAACCAAGAUCUAGGAAAGCUUGCAAGAUUUUUUUUUCUUUUUCCAAAUUUAUCCAGAGCAAUAAAAUUGUUGUAUCCUGGAAGAUAAAGUUGUGCCAAGAUUCUUCAAUUAAUUAAUUAAUAAUAAUAACUUUCCUUCCGUAACACUCAUUCUCGCAAGUGCUUUUUAAAAUUGCUAAAGAUUCUUCAAUUGAAAAUUUUCACGUCAGUCGGGUGUUAUUGAGAUGCCUUUAUCACAAAGAAUGGCUCAGAAUAAGAACUUCCGGUUCUAUUGAGCCGUAUAUUGUAUCAGUUGCUUUGCGAAUUUUGGCUUUUGCAGUUCCUAGUUAGUAGUAAAAUUAUCACCCUUGUAUCAUAUGGGUAAAGGGAAAG
rnacentral:lncRNA from 1 species